rnacentral:lncRNA from 1 species
AUGCAAAAAUACAGCAGAAGCUUUCCCUUGGACGAGUUUUUAUUUCAGCCAUACAGUUCCCCAAAAAAACUUUUCCUAGGCAGGGUAGCAAAAGGCACCUUUGGUUACCUGAAUGGACAGGUACAGGGCAAAUUAUUUUGGGCGGGGGACAAAAAGGAGAGAAAAGGAAGGAGACUGAGCGAGAGUGUGAGAGAAAAAGCGAGGAAGCCACUCUUGGGAAAAGCACGCCAUAAAAGACUUCACCCACCUGAAAUUCCUACCCACAGACACCCCUCUCACUUCACACUCACAUCCCCACUCAAAAUGAGAGCAUUAGAAAGGAGGAUGGGUGACGAGCACACCAAAAAAAGGAUAAAAAGAGGGGAAAAAAGGAGGGGAAAAAAACCUACCUGCGAAGUCUUGUUUGUAGUUUUGGCCAGAAAUGGUGAGAAGAAAAAGCAUGAAGAAGCCGCGAAGUGUGGGGGAGAAAAAGGUGGAAGCGAAGAAACAGCUCCCGGAGUAAACUGCACAAAACCUCGCCAAGAGUGUCGGGAGGCAGGACCGUUAUUCCUGCGGAGCAGGAGAGAGAGGAGAGACCCUGAAACACGCGCCACCUAUCUUUGUGGGGAGGGAUAAUUGAAGCGCCCUGAGCGUGAGCAUCAUGUGAAAACGUGAUCGCCAAGUUUCUCUCUGGGAAAGGAUCUGGGAUAGAUUAUACCUUGAAGUCUCCGCAAACGCUUUAGUGGAAGAAAUGAAAUUCCACCUCCCUCCCUUCCUCUCUCCCUCCCUCUCGCCUCCCACCCUCAGACGCUCAGGUCUCCACGACACCCCGGAGGGAAAGUGUAGCAGAUUAUAUUUUGUAUAGAAAGAAACAAAAUCCACGGAGUAGUGCAUGUAGCGUA